UAAGUUAGAAAGGGCGCACGGUGGAUGCCUUGACACUAGGAGUCGAUGAAGGACGGGACUAACGCCGAUAUGCUUCGGGGAGCUGUAAGUAAGCUUUGAUCCGAAGAUUUCCGAAUGGGGAAACCCACCAUACGUAAUGGUAUGGUAUCCUUAUCUGAAUACAUAGGGUAAGGAAGACAGACCCAGGGAACUGAAACAUCUAAGUACCUGGAGGAAGAGAAAGCAAAUGCGAUUUCCUGAGUAGCGGCGAGCGAAACGGAACAUAGCCCAAACCAAGAGGCUUGCCUCUUGGGGUUGUAGGACAUUCUAUACGGAGUUACAAAGGAACGAGGUAGACGAAGCGACCUGGAAAGGUCCGUCGUAGAGGGUAACAACCCCGUAGUCGAAACUUCGUUCUCUCUUGAAUGUAUCCUGAGUACGGCGGAACACGUGAAAUUCCGUCGGAAUCUGGGAGGACCAUCUCCCAAGGCUAAAUACUCCCUAGUGAUCGAUAGUGAACCAGUACCGUGAGGGAAAGGUGAAAAGCACCCCGGAAGGGGAGUGAAAGAGAUCCUGAAACCGUGUGCCUACAAAUAGUCAGAGCCCGUUAACGGGUGAUGGCGUGCCUUUUGUAGAAUGAACCGGCGAGUUACGAUCCCGUGCAAGGUUAAGCUGAAGAGGCGGAGCCGCAGCGAAAGCGAGUCUGAAUAGGGCGUUUAGUACGUGGUCGUAGACCCGAAACCAGGUGAUCUACCCAUGUCCAGGGUGAAGUUCAGGUAACACUGAAUGGAGGCCCGAACCCACGCACGUUGAAAAGUGCGGGGAUGAGGUGUGGGUAGCGGAGAAAUUCCAAUCGAACCUGGAGAUAGCUGGUUCUCCCCGAAAUAGCUUUAGGGCUAGCCUUAAGUGUAAGAGUCUUGGAGGUAGAGCACUGAUUGGACUAGGGGUCCUCAUCGGAUUACCGAAUUCAGUCAAACUCCGAAUGCCAAUGACUUAUCCUUAGGAGUCAGACUGCGAGUGAUAAGAUCCGUAGUCAAAAGGGAAACAGCCCAGACCGCCAGCUAAGGUCCCAAAGUGUGUAUUAAGUGGAAAAGGAUGUGGAGUUGCUUAGACAACUAGGAUGUUGGCUUAGAAGCAGCCACCAUUUAAAGAGUGCGUAAUAGCUCACUAGUCGAGUGACUCUGCGCCGAAAAUGUACCGGGGCUAAAUACACCACCGAAGCUGCGGAUUGAUACCAAUGGUAUCAGUGGUAGGGGAGCGUUCUAAGGACAGUGAAGUCAGACCGGAAGGACUGGUGGAGUGCUUAGAAGUGAGAAUGCCGGUAUGAGUAGCGAAAGACGGGUGAGAAUCCCGUCCACCGAAUGCCUAAGGUUUCCUGAGGAAGGCUCGUCCGCUCAAGGGUUAGUCAGGACCUAAGCCGAGGCCGACAGGCGUAGGCGAUGGACAACAGGUUGAUAUUCCUGUACCACCUCUUUAUCGUUUGAGCAAUGGAGGGACGCAGAAGGAUAGAAGAAGCGUGCGAUUGGUUGUGCACGUCCAAGCAGUUAGGCUGAUAAGUAGGCAAAUCCGCUUAUCGUGAAGGCUGAGCUGUGAUGGGGAAGCUCCUUAUGGAGCGAAGUCUUUGAUUCCCCGCUGCCAAGAAAAGCUUCUAGCGAGAUAAAAGGUGCCUGUACCGCAAACCGACACAGGUAGGCGAGGAGAGAAUCCUAAGGUGUGCGAGAGAACUCUGGUUAAGGAACUCGGCAAAAUGACCCCGUAACUUCGGGAGAAGGGGUGCUUUCUUAACGGAAAGCCGCAGUGAAUAGGCCCAAGCGACUGUUUAGCAAAAACACAGCUCUCUGCGAAGCCGUAAGGCGAAGUAUAGGGGGUGACACCUGCCCGGUGCUGGAAGGUUAAGGAGAGGGGUUAGCGUAAGCGAAGCUCUGAACUGAAGCCCCAGUAAACGGCGGCCGUAACUAUAACGGUCCUAAGGUAGCGAAAUUCCUUGUCGGGUAAGUUCCGACCCGCACGAAAGGUGUAACGAUUUGGGCACUGUCUCAACCAGAGACUCGGUGAAAUUAUAGUACCUGUGAAGAUGCAGGUUACCCGCGACAGGACGGAAAGACCCCGUGGAGCUUUACUGUAGCCUGAUAUUGAAUUUUGGUACAGUUUGUACAGGAUAGGCGGGAGCCUUUGAAACCGGAGCGCUAGCUUCGGUGGAGGCGCUGGUGGGAUACCGCCCUGACUGUAUUGAAAUUCUAACCUACGGGUCUUAUCGACCCGGGAGACAGUGUCAGGUGGGCAGUUUGACUGGGGCGGUCGCCUCCUAAAGUGUAACGGAGGCGCCCAAAGGUUCCCUCAGAAUGGUUGGAAAUCAUUCGUAGAGUGCAAAGGCAUAAGGGAGCUUGACUGCGAGACCUACAAGUCGAGCAGGGACGAAAGUCGGGCUUAGUGAUCCGGUGGUUCCGCAUGGAAGGGCCAUCGCUCAACGGAUAAAAGCUACCCCGGGGAUAACAGGCUUAUCUCCCCCAAGAGUCCACAUCGACGGGGAGGUUUGGCACCUCGAUGUCGGCUCAUCGCAUCCUGGGGCUGUAGUCGGUCCCAAGGGUUGGGCUGUUCGCCCAUUAAAGCGGUACGCGAGCUGGGUUCAGAACGUCGUGAGACAGUUCGGUCCCUAUCCGUCGUGGGCGUAGGAAAUUUGAGAGGAGCUGUCCUUAGUACGAGAGGACCGGGAUGGACGCACCGCUGGUGUACCAGUUGUUCUGCCAAGGGCAUAGCUGGGUAGCUAUGUGCGGAAGGGAUAAGUGCUGAAAGCAUCUAAGCAUGAAGCCCCCCUCAAGAUGAGAUUUCCCAUAGCGUAAGCUAGUAAGAUCCCUGAAAGAUGAUCAGGUUGAUAGGUUCGAGGUGGAAGCAUGGUGACAUGUGGAGCUGACGAAUACUAAUAGAUCGAGGACUUAACCA
rnacentral:rRNA from 1 species